UUCUUGAAGAAGAGGCACAAAUCUUGAAGGUAGCUCUGCUGGAGAGCAUGGAAGAAAGUAGAACGCUAAUUACUGACAUACAUCUGCAUUUUCACACCAUACAAAGUCGCCUAUUGCAACAACAAGCAGAGAGAGGAGAAUCAUAUAGCCAUAGCAUUCAGAUAGUGAAGGUACGUAUUAUUCAUGAAACACUUCAUUUAUUCCUUUUGAAGCACAUAAACAACAAAGACAAGGAAAAGGCAUCCCAAAUUGUAAAGCAAAAUUUUACUUGCAUCCCAUACUAUUUCAUGACAGUAAUCAUAAUAGUAUUCUUGCAUCUGCAUAAUAUUGUGGUAAUCUAAUCAACUAGUAUAAGACUAAUGGCAUCUUCCACAUUUUCUUGUUCAUCAUCAAGAAUCCAAACAUAGUCUAUGCACACUUCAUACUUCUCCUAAGGGUGUGCGUUUCACGUGUACAGGAAAGACGACCAGGUCUACUGCAGAUCCUAUACCAAGAAUCAAAUCCAUCAAUUGUCAACAACCAAAGC
rnacentral:lncRNA from 1 species